AAAGGGAGACCUAAUUCCGGUAGGAGACGAAAAAAAAGUAGUCCCUACCAAGAAUCAAUCCCAAAAGGUCGGAACGAGGUAUGAGGCUUUCAAACUAGGUUCUGGGUUCAUAAAAGACCUGAAUCAGGAACAAGGGCUAUUAGCUCAGGUGGUUAGAGCGCACCCCUGAUAAGGGUGAGGUCCCUGGUUCGAGUCCAGGAUGGCCCACCUGCACAGGUGGCAAAAACAAAAGAAGCGAGGAAUCAGCACCUUAUCUUAUAUACAUAUAUAAGAGAGAAUGCUGGCUCUGAGUACAGAGUCCAGAGGAACCCUGAAAACUGCAUAGAGCUAGGUGAAAAAGCCAAAAAAGAAGACCGCAAG
rnacentral:tRNA from 1 species